UACGUAGGGGGCAAGCGUUGUCCGGAAUCAUUGGGCGUAAAGAGCGUGUAGGCGGCCCGGUAAGUCCGCUGUGAAAGUCGGGGGCUCAACCCUCGGAUGCCGGUGGAUACUGUCGGGCUAGAGUGCGGAAGAGGCGAGUGGAAUUCCUGGUGUAGCGGUGGAAAUGACGCAGAUAUCAGGAGGAACACCGAUUGCGAAGGCAGCUCGCUGGGACGUUACUGACGCUGAGACGCGAAAGCGUGGGGAGCAAACAGG
rnacentral:rRNA from 1 species